UUAAGGCCCUGUUUGGUUCCAAAUAAGUCACCAACUUAUAAGUUGAAAAGUGCAAAAAGUGACUUAUUUUACCAAACAGACCCAACUUAUAAGUCACCCCAACUUAUAAGUCAUAAGUUGCUUCACCCCAACUUAAAACUUAUAAGUCACCCACUUUUGCAUGGAAAGGUUACUUAUAAGUCAGAUGACAACCAAACAGACCUGACUUAUAAGUCACUGGUUUUAAGUCACCUGACUUAUUGAAACCAAACAGGGCCUAA
rnacentral:lncRNA from 1 species